UCUCUCUAUGCAAAAAGUCAUAUUUUGAAGUAGUUUUUACAGGAUUGUUUUUCUUUCUUUCUCGUUGACACAAAAAGGCUUACAAUAUAGAUAACUUGAUUCCUGUAAAUUGUGUGGAUGUUAGUGUUUUUGUUUUUUCGUUUUGUUUUCAUAUGAACAUGUGCAUGCAAAUCUUUGUUUUCCCUCCGGUUUCCAUGCCUUUUCAAAUGCAUAUAUUUGAAAAGUAGUAAAGUGGAUAUCUACAGGAUUUUAUUUCAAACAUGUAUUUUCUUUCUUAAUUCAUAUCACACUGAAAACUCUCUGUAGAUUAUACUUGGAAAAAAACACACACAUGCAUACACACCACACACACACAUACACGCACACACACACAUACACACACACACACAUACACACACACGCGCGCGCAUUUGUGUGUGUGUGUCAUUUUGAAAGAAAAAGUACCAAAAGGCCAAUUAAAACAUGGAAAAAAAAGAAAAGAAAAAGGAAAUUAAAUAGAGGCUAAAGCCAGCAGUGCUUAAUUGGCACCCAGCUGAUAUAGCAACAGAGACAAGAUAAACAACCUUGUGAAGAGAUUAUACUUGUUUACAUUUGGAGCAAUUGUGGAACAUAGAUAAACAAGGAAUAUGUUGAUAAAACGACAAAAGAAUGAAAUGAGACUCUCGAAACUACACCUAAAAGACCAGCUAAUGCUGAAUUGGCUGCAGAGAAAGAAUUGAAUGGGAAACUAUAGGAGCUUGUGGAAAACUUGAGUAGAAACAGAGGAAGACAGUAAAGAUAUUAGGAGAGAGUAUAGACAUAGACAAGUUGAAACAAAGCUAGAUAAUGGCUUCAGAAAUUGUCAAAAUGUAGAAAACUAUCAAAGAGUCUGAAGAAAAAAUGUCAAACAAUCAAACUGAAGUAUUGGAAGAAACAAACAAACUUAAAACAGCAGUCACCAGUAUAUUGAAAGUCAAAGAGAAUGUUAACACAACAAGAAAGAAAUUUCAAAAGGACAUGAAGGGCUCAAAAGUAGAGAUCAAAACUGAAUGACUUCAAUUCCUUAUCUGAUCUUGUCAGACUUUGUCACAGUCAUUAUUGACAAAGACGUCUUAAGUAGCAUAAAAGAAGGUUGAUAUUUUCAGGGAUUACCAUCACUGCCACAACGUAGAGGCUGAUUGGAUAAUGGUAUUGAUGCCAGCUGUAAGAAAUUAUCUUAUCGUCAUUGCAACCAGAUUUCACUUAGGCUUGAUAAAGUAUGUGUACAGAGACUCAUGAUGAAAUGUUUACUAUGGUUUCUCAUAAAUUUUGUACAGGGGUAUAUUCAAAGCAAAAAUCACUGGGAAUAGUUCAGAGGUGGUAAUUAUUUUUUAGUAUUUUGGGGGAUUCAUAUGCUUCUACUUUCUCAUUUGAGCAGCUGACUUAAUACUUAAAGACAUUAGUUUAAUUACAAAUAUGAACUGGUAUUUUAUUACCUGGAACAUUCUCUCUAUGUAUAGUAGGGAGUGGGUGGAGAUAAACAGAGACGUCAUGAAGUCCUCAAAACCCUGUGAUGCCAUGGUUGCAAUGGAGUGAAUCGUGAUUCGAUGCAUAAUGACAUAAUUUUCCGUCAGCUUUUCAGAGGGAGCAUAUCUUUAGUGGAAGUGGAAGCAUUUUUUUUGUCAGAUACAGGCAUUUAAAGUGAGGGGAAUCACAAGUGAGCAUUUUCAUCAUCAAAACAUAAUAGAAUACACCAAGAAAAGAGCCUAGUGCAUUCUUCUUGGAAAAAGUCAUGUACAAAUGAAAUUCAAAUGUUACCUUUUUACAGGAAAAGGAGGCAGAAUAAAAGAGGAGGUACAGUUAUAAGAGGAAAUUUUAGAUAUUUAAGAAUGUUCCCUGAGGAAGAAAAGUAAACGGUUGUAGUAAAGAAGAUUAAUUUGUAAUGAUAGAGUUGAAAGAUUUGUGCUGAAAUUCAGAUGGAAGAUAAAAAAUGUCUGAAAGUUACUCAAAGAAGAAAAUGGGAGAACAAGAGUAAACAAACUGUGCUAAUGGGAAGAUUCACAAGACAUGGCUAAGGAAUAAGGAAGACUAUCAUUAUUUAUAGAAGAACAAGUUUCCACAGUAAAGGAUAUAAAGAAACCAAAUUUUCAUAUUAGAAUGAUGAGUAGAAAGAUUGCAUGCGCCUGAAAUGUAUGCUAAUUUAAAAAGUUCAAUGAUAUUCAAAGCAUACCUGACAUGUCCCACAAAGCUUCACUCUCUCCCAUGUUUGAACAACUAGGUUUGAAAAAAACACAUAUUAAAUGUACUUGUAUUUACCUACCUUGAGCUGCUUUUUAAAUUUCCAAUUGUUGUUUUUGGGAUUAGUUUUCAUUUAUUACAGUUAUUGCAGUUGUGAUUUUUUUUCCCAUUAUUUUACAUUCACAUGUUUGCCCCAACCUGUUUUUGUAGGGACCCUAGAUAGAGUGCAGUCGGAUGAGCAUAUUUGAAAUGAGAAUUUUUUAAAAGUUAGAACUAUUAGAUGUCUGUCUUACCAAAGAUAACAAGGUUCAUUUACCUUGGAGAUAUAUUUUGUUAAUGAUUUUACUUAUAGGUAGAGGCUAGUUAUGUUGGAGAUUUUUUCUUCUUCUUCUUUUAUAAAAUUAAUCUCUGUCUUUUUCCCAUGGUAUUAAGACUAUUUUGCCCCACAAAAAUGUACAUCUUAUGUUUAAAUUUAACCUGUGUGUAGAUUAAAACUUGUAUGUAUAUUAUAGCUUUUGUAUGGGUUUGUAAAUGCAUUUAAUAUUGGAUCAACUAUGGAUCACACCUUAUCAGUGGGUCUUUCAUAAGUGUUGAAUACAUGUAUAUGAUUUAUGGAAGCAGUACUAGCUAGUGUUAAAGUAAAAAAUUGUUAUUUGCUUGAGGCAUCCACUUUUAUACAAUCAGAGAAUAAUUAUUGCAAUUAAUUGAUAUAUUUACAUUAUCUAAAACAUAAUGCUUACACAAAUAAAAACUAGAAGCACUCAGAGAGUGCAUACCUCUGCCAAGGCAAUAGGAUGAUGAUGAUAAUUGAAGCACCAAAAAGUUGUCCCUAUCUUGCAAUGCUAAUAAUAGUAAUAGUUACCCCUAUUGCCAAGGCAAUAAGGGUAACUGAUACAAUUAUUUUAAGAAUUCCUGGAUCCAGAUUAUGAUCAUGAAUUUAAUGGCAUCCAAGUUGGGCUAAGACACACCUCUUGAAAAAAAUUCAUAAAGACCCGUUCUUAAGUUUUGAAUUAUCUGGUGAACCAACGAACAAACUAACCAACACUACCAAAAACAUAACCUCCUUGGCGGAGGUAAAAAGAGUAUGUGUGUGCAUGAGAGAGAGAGAGAGUGAGUGAGUGAGUGUGAGAGUGAAUGAGUGAGUGAGUGAGAAUGAGGAUAUGAGAGUGCAUGCAAAAGAGAGAGACUUGAAGGAGAUGCAUUUUUCCAUUUACACAUAUAAAAUGUAAAUGUAUUUCACAUUUAUCUAAAAUCUUGAGUCUUUGUUUUUGCAUUUUUAUUUUCAUUCCCUUUAAAUCAUUUUUUGCUGUUUUAAUUUUGUUUUAAACAGAAUCAGCAAGGAAAUCCCAUAUGGCUUUGGUUUACCCAGAAGCCUCAUAGCAUGGAGAAUGGGAUCUUAAUUAUAAAGUAGCCUUAUUCAUUUAACUAAACUUGUGCUUUCAAUAAAAAAAGUAACAUAUUUUACUUCUUGCAUAUAUAUACCUUCAACUACAAAAUGAGUUGAGAUCAAAGGUUUAUUUUAGACUUGCCUAUUAUGAUUAUGUAGUAGUGAAGGUAGGUGCUUCUUUACUGGGGUAUGUAGUUCAAGUAGCCUUUUAGUUUCACAUGUAGUUAAGUUCCAUUAUGUUUCUAUGUUUUGUGCUUUAUCAUUGCUAUUCUCUCCUCAAGUUGUAUCACCUCUCUACAAGAAUUUGGAGUCAUCGACAACAGCACAGCAAAGACCGUAGAUGCAGGCUUGAGGCUCUGAGUUUAGCUGUGAACCAGUGAUACUACAGCUAGAUUGACGGGACGGAAGGUGCAGGUGCAUCACAGAAUCUUCCAUCGCAUCCUCCUGGUUCUCGUCCCAAGCCAGUUCUGCCCAACCUAAUUGCCAAGCAGCGGUCAUUCAGGUGUAAGCUGUCAAACAAAAGCAAAUAGUGCUAGUUCCUUAUGUCUGUCUUGAACAUGUUUGGAGUCAUAGCCAGAAUUUGCUGUAGUGAAAGACAAGUCACAACAUUAUUUCAUUUAUUCAUUUAUUUUCUUUUUUAUUCAUUUGUUUAUUUCUAUUGUAUUUUGGUUUAUUUUAUUUUAUUUUUAUUUUUUAUCCCAAAAAAUUUAUGACAAUUCUGAUGGCUUCUGAUGUCACCACUUGGUAAUGAAAGUAAUGUUACUACAAAAUUGACUCUUGCAUACCCAGUUUUUUAAAUUGUGUUGACAUGACACUGAUUUUUCCAACUGGAAAUUAAAGUAAACGAAUUGUGACAUGGCAGCUCUUAGCUAUAAAUGCAGUAAUGAUUGCCAAAAAUUGACAAGUAACAGGAUAUUGCUGUUUUAAUCUGAGAACUCAUCCAGUGAAAGGUUGUAACUCAGGUGUUAUUAGAAUGUCAUAUUCAUUAUCUAUUAGAAAGGUUUCGUGUAUGAUGUGAUUGUCCUCAAUGCCUCUUAGUUAACAGAAGAAAUAAUAGAGCAUUGUUUAAACCUGGAUGUAAAUGUUAGAUUAUAUGACCAUAGGAUAUAAUACACAAGUCCUAUUUUGUAGAAAACUAUGAUGGAUGUGAUAUAAGCUUGCUCCACAGACUGAGCCUGCAGUGGUUACUCACAUACUGGCUUGGGACAAUGUGAUACUUUCUUCAUUCAUGGCCAAAGGUAUACUAGAUAGUUGAUCUAGUUAUAUAAGUUAUUUUGGGUGUUUGUUGAGUGUUUAGCUUCCUUACCACCAUUAUGUGGGCCUGAGUAGAGGCUACUUUUAUCAAGAAAAUUUAAUGUCACACAUUGCUUAUUCCAAGUUAUGUUUGGCAAGUACAGUUGUGUGUCAGUGUGACUGCCAAGUUAAAUGUGAUCAAUUUGAUCCUCUUUUUCUAUGGAGAAAGAGCAGCUUGUCUGUACUAGGUACAUGAGUUCUGUAAAUAUAGCUUGCAGCUAAUUAAGGAAGGAAUAUCCUCAAUACUUUUGAAAUGUAACUACUUGUGACCUGUUCGUUGUUCUCUGCAGAUUGAGUUUGGACACCCAAGACAAGGGUAUUCACUAAUACCUUAAUUCAAGCCAUGUAAUGAAUGAGUUACAUAAGAAAAACAAUCAGUAUUGUAUUUUUUUGGCAGAUAAGUGAACUUUUGUACAAUAAUCUAAGUGUAAGUGUGAGAGUGGAAGAGAAAUGUAUGCAGAUAUAGAGAAAAAAUAAAUAAACUAGUAAUUCAGAAACUCUGAUGUGGAGUCAAGCCCAUGUUGAAUAACUGGCAUGUUUUAGCUUUUCAUGUUCAUCAGGCUAUUGAGUAUACACAAUGAGGGAUAUUCUACCAAGAAUGAUUCAGCAUGGAAUCACUUUUCUUGUGUGCAUACAGCUAUAAUCCAGAUCAGGCAGUGUUAGCUUUGUAAAAAAGAAUUUAAAAAAAAGAAAAAAAAAGUAAAAAAAGAAAAAAGAAAGAAAAAAAAGCAUUAACAGUUCACAAUGGCUGUACACACUUAGGAAUUUAGCCUGUAGGUUUUUUCUUUUUUUUUCUGUUGUUGUUGUAUUUUUCGUAUGUAUUUUUCAUUUUAAGCUUUAUGUCCACUUUUAUCAUUUUCGCAAGUGGUACCAAGUCCUUUGUGAUUGUAAGGGUUCCCCGGUUGUACUAUUGGGGCUCUUCUGGACUCGGUAUUUUCAAACAGAUGUGAAGUUCUGUUGAAACUGUAUUUGUUCAUUUGUUUUAUUAUUAUUAUCAUCAUCAUCAUUAUCAUAAUCACAUCAUCAUUAUCAUAAUCACAUCAUCAUCAUCAUCAUCGUCAUCAUCAUCAUCAUCAUCGCUAUCAUCAUAACUCAGUGUAUUUGUAGUAGUUAUAUGGUUAGGAAAUACGGUAAUACAUAGAUUUCCUUUCCUAUGAGAAAUUUAUAUUCAGCGUAUGUUACAGACUAUAGCACGUGAUAUAUUUCAUUCAAAUCAUGUUACAUUAUACUUGUUUUUGAUAUAUGGAGUAUUAUGGUUUUCAGGCUCGGUGAACUUUUCUGAUUUUGUCGCAGUCAUUUUCAUGAUUGUGAUUGUUAUAAUAAAUGAGGAUAUUAUUGUUACUGUUGCUGUUGUUUUUAUUAUUCUUUUUUAUUAUUAUUAUCAUUAUGAUUGUUACUUUUAUUAUCAUUAUUUUUUAUU